rnacentral:rRNA from 1 species
AUACGGAGGGUGCAAGCGUUACUCGGAAUCACUGGGCGUAAAGCGCGCGCAGGCGGCUUGAUAAGUUGGAUGUGAAAGCCUACGGCUCAACCGUAGAACUGCAUCCAAAACUGUCAAGCUAGAGUCUGGGAGGGGAAGAUGGAAUUAGUUGUGUAGGGGUAAAAUCCGUAGAGAUAACUAGGAAUACCAAAAGCGAAGGCGAUCUUCUGGAACAGUCCUGACGCUGAGACGCGAAAGCGUGGGGAGCAAACAGGAUUAGAAACCCCAGUAGUCC